rnacentral:rRNA from 1 species
AUUGAACGCUGGCGGCAUGCCUUACACAUGCAAGUCGAACGGUAACAGGUCUUCGGAUGCUGACGAGUGGCGAACGGGUGAGUAAUACAUCGGAACGUGCCUAGUAGUGGGGGAUAACUACUCGAAAGAGUGGCUAAUACCGCAUGAGAUCUACGGAUGAAAGCAGGGGAUCGAAAGACCUUGUGCUACUAGAGCGGCCGAUGGCAGAUUAGGUAGUUGGUGGGAUAAAAGCUUACCAAGCCGACGAUCUGUAGCUGGUCUGAGAGGACGAUCAGCCACACUGAGACUGAGAAACGGCCCAGACUCCUACGGAAGGCAGCAGUGGGGAAUUUUGGACAAUGGGCGCAAGCCUGAUCCAGCAAUGCCGCGUGCAGGAUGAAGGCCUUCGGGUUGUAAACUGCUUUUGUACGGAACGAAAAGCCCCGGGUUAAUACCCUGGGGUCAUGACGGUACCGUAAGAAUAAGCACCGGCUAACUACGUGCCAGCAGCCGCCGUAA